GGUUGUGGCUCAGUGGUAGAGUGCUUGCCUAUCACAUGUGAAGCACUGGGUUUGAUACUCAGCACAUCA
rnacentral:tRNA from 1 species